UACGUAGGGUGCGAGCGCUAAUCGGAAUUACUGGGCGUAAAGCGUGCGCAGGCGGUUUUGUAAGUCUGUCGUGAAAUCCCCGGGCUUAACCUGGAAUUGCGAUGGAGACUGCAAGGCUAGAAUCUGGCAGAGGGGGUAGAAUUCCACGUGUAGCAGUGAAAUGCGUAGAGAUGUGGAGGAACACCGAUGGCGAAGGCAGCCCCUGGUCAAGAUUGA
rnacentral:rRNA from 1 species